rnacentral:rRNA from 1 species
GACGAACGCUGGCGGCGUGCCUAACACAUGCAAGUGGAGCGACGAACCGGGCUUCGGCCCGGGGCAAAGCCGCGAACGGGUGAGUAACACGUGGGUAACCUGCCCCGAUGACCGGGACAACUCGAGGAAACUCGGGCGUAAUACCGGAUGUGCUCACGCCACAUCAGUGGUGUGAGCAAAGGUAAGCUUCGGCCUCCGCAUCGGGA